rnacentral:rRNA from 1 species
GCAGUCGCGUCUACCAUGCAGUCGACGCUGAAGCCGACAGCUUGCUGUUGGUGGAUGAGUGGCGAACGGGUGAGUAACACGUGAGUAACCUGCCCCUGAUUUCGGGAUAAGCCUGGGAAACUGGGUCUAAUACCGGAUACGACCUCCUGACGCAUGUUGGGUGGUGGAAAGUUUUUCGAUCGGGGAUGGGCUCGCGGCCUAUCAGCUUGUUGGUGGGGUAAUGGCCUACCAAGGCGACGACGGGUAGCCGGCCUGAGAGGGCGACCGGCCACACUGGGACUGAGACACGGCCCAGACUCCUACGGGAGGCAGCAGUGGGGAAUAUUGCACAAUGGGGGAAACCCUGAUGCAGCGACGCAGCGUGCGGGAUGACGGCCUUCGGGUUGUAAACCGCUUUCAGCAGGGAAGAAGCGAAAGUGACGGUACCUGCAGAAGAAGUACCGGCUAACUACGUGCCAGCAGCCGCGGUAAUACGUAGGGUACGAGCGUUGUCCGGAAUUAUUGGGCGUAAAGAGCUCGUAGGUGGUUGGUCACGUCUGCUGUGGAAACGCAACGCUUAACGUUGCGCGUGCAGUGGGUACGGGCUGACUAGAGUGCAGUAGGGGAGUCUGGAAUUCCUGGUGUAGCGGUGAAAUGCGCAGAUAUCAGGAGGAACACCGGUGGCGAAGGCGGGACUCUGGGCUGUAACUGACACUGAGGAGCGAAAGCAUGGGGAGCGAACAGGAUUAGAUACCCUGGUAGUCCAUGCCGUAAACGUUGGGCACUAGGUGUGGGGGACAUUCCACGUUCUCCGCGCCGUAGCUAACGCAUUAAGUGCCCCGCCUGGGGGAGUACGGUCGCAAGGCUAAAACUCAAAGGAAUUGACGGGGGCCCGCACAAGCGGCGGAGCAUGCGGAUUAAUUCGAUGCAACGCGAAGAACCUUACCAAGGCUUGACAUACACUGGACCGUUCUGGAAACAGUUCUUCUCUUUGGAGCUGGUGUACAGGUGGUGCAUGGUUGUCGUCAGCUCGUGUCGUGAGAUGUUGGGUUAAGUCCCGCAACGAGCGCAACCCUCGUUCUAUGUUGCCAGCACGUGAUGGUGGGAACUCAUAGGAGACUGCCGGGGUCAACUCGGAGGAAAA